UGUGAAUUGCAGAAUUCCGCGAAUCAUCGAGUCUUUGAACGCAAGUUGCGCCCGAGGCUUGUUCCAAGGGCAUGCCUGCCUGAGCGUCCGC
rnacentral:rRNA from 1 species